rnacentral:rRNA from 1 species
UAGGGAAUCUUCGGCAAUGGGGGCAACCCUGACCGAGCAACGCCGCGUGAGUGAAGAAGGUUUUCGGAUCGUAAAGCUCUGUUGUAAGAGAAGAACGUGUGUGAGAGUGGAAAGUUCACACAGUGACGGUAACUUACCAGAAAGGGACGGCUAACUACGUGCCAGCAGCCGCGGUAAUACGUAGGUCCCGAGCGUUGCCCGGAUUUAUUGGGCGUAAAGCGAGCGCAGGCGGUUUAAUAAGUCUGAAGUUAAAGGCAGUGGCUUAACCAUUGUUCGCUUUGGAAACUGUUAAACUUGAGUGCAGAAGGGGAGCGUGGAAUUCCAUGUGUAGCGGUGAAAUGCGUAGAUAUAUGGAGGAACACCGGUGGCGAAAGCGGCUCUCUGGUCUGUAACUGACGCUGAGGCUCGAAAGCGUGGGGAGCAAACAGG